AUGACGAUGUGGAGGGCGGCGGCGGUCGUCCUGCUGCUCGCGGUCGCGCUCGUGUCGACGACGACCGUGGCGGCGGCGAGGCACCACCACGACGGGUUUGCGAAGGUGUUCGACAGGCAGGAGGCGGACCUGGUGGAGGCGCUGCCGGGGCAGCCGGAGGGGCUCGGCGUCCGGCAGUUCGCCGGGUAUGUGACUGUGAACCAGACGCACGGCCGCGCGCUCUUCUACUGGUUCUUCGAGGCCACCCACGACGUCGUCAAGAAGCCCCUCGUCCUCUGGCUCAACGGAGGGCCCGGAUGCUCGUCGCUUGGGUACGGAGCACUGGAGGAGCUUGGCCCCUUGCUGAUCCAGAAGGGAACACCUGAGCUCAGGCUCAACCCCGACGCAUGGAACAAAGAGGCAAAUCUGCUCUUCUUGGAGCAGCCUGCCGGCGUCGGAUUCUCCUACACGAACACCACCGCCGAUCUCGAGAGAUUCGGCGACGAGCUCGCUGCUCAUGACGCGUACACGUUCCUCGUCAACUGGUUCGAGAGGUUCCCGCAGUUCAAGGGCCACGAUUUCUACAUCGCCGGAGAGAGCUACGCCGGGCACUACGUCCCCAAUCUCGCCGAGAAGAUUGUCGAGCAGAACAAGAAGGUGCACAAGAGCAAGCACAUCAAUUUCAAGGGAUUCAUGAUCGGGAACGCGGCGAUCGACGAGGCGUCGGACGACCGCGGCAUGGUGGACUACGCGUGGGACCACGCCGUCAUCUCCGACGAGCUCUACGACGCCAUCAACAAGAACUGCAGGUUCGACCAGGCCGGCAACAGCAGUGACUUCUCCUCGUCGGGCCACAACCCCGCCAGCAACCCCGCCUGCGACCGCGCCAUGAACGGCUUCUACGGGGCGUUCGACCACAUCGACCUCUACAGCCUCUACACCCCCGCUUGCACCGCCAACCCCGCCGGCACGGCGGGCCAGCUGCCGCGCCGCCUCCACCGGUCGUCCAGCACCGCGUCCGACAACGGCAGGCCCCUGCGGCCGCGCUACAACAGCUACGACCCGUGCCUGGACAGCUACGCCGCCGAGUACCUGAACCGCCGGGACGUGCAGCACGCGCUGCACGCCAACGCCACCGGGAGCAUCCCCUACGCGUGGGCCGCGUGCAGCGACUCGCUGUUCCAGCACUGGCAGGACUCGCCGGCGUCGACGCUGCCGGUGAUCAAGAGGAUGGUCGACGCCGGCCUCCGCGUGUGGGUGUACAGCGGCGACACCGACGGCCGCGUGCCCGUGUCCUCCACCCGCCACGCGGUGCGCAAGCUCGGCCUCAAGACCCUCAAGCAGUGGAGGGAGUGGUUCACCAGCGACCAGGUCGGCGGCUUCCAGGUGGACUACGACGGCCUCACCUUCGUCACCGUCCGCGGCGCCGGCCAUAUGGUGCCCACCGUCACGCCCGUGCAGGCCAGCCAGCUCUUCGCUCACUUCCUUGCCGGCAAGGAAUUGCCGCCCAAACCCAUCGUCGCCUGA
rnacentral:rRNA from 1 species